UAAGCCAUGCAUGUCUAAGUUCAGCCUUAGAUUUAUGAAAGUGAAACCGCAAACAGCUCAUUAAAUCAGUUAUAACUCACGUGCACUCGUGUACAGUAAAUGGAUAACUGUGGUAAAUCUAGAGCUAAUACAUGCAAACUUGACGGUGUUCGCUUUGACGGCACGUCGCAUUUUAUUAGACCUCAAGACCAAGGGUUAGUGGUACUUUGUGCCAUUGUCCUACAGUCAGCGGUGAAUCUAGAUAACACCCAGCUAUCAAAUAAGUCCUCGAGAGAGUGACGUUGAAAAGUAUUUCAGGCUUCUGCCUUAUCAACUUUGGUUGGUAGGCGACGGGACUACCAUGGUAGUCACGAGUAACGGGGAAUAUGGGUUUGAUGCCGGAGAAGGAGCCUGAGAAACGGCUACUACAUCUAAGGAAGGCAGCAGGCGCGCAAUUUACCCACUCUUAGUUCAAGGAGGUAGUGACGAGAAAUGAACACAAAGGAGCUCAAUGUGUCCCUUUGAGUAUCCUUAGUUAAUAAAUUGUGAUUGAGUACAAUUUAAAUACUUUAACGAGCAUCUAUUGGAGGGCAAGUCUGGUGCCAGCAGCCGCGGUAAUUCCAGCUCCAAUAGCGUAUAUUAAAAUUGUUGCGGUUAAAAAGCUCGUAGUUGAACCUCGGUUUACUGCCAAUCUAGUGCUCUCGGUGUUGUACUCACACUCGCACUCUGUGUGUUGUGUGCUGUGCACGCUGGGCUUUGACAGGCCUAGAUGUAUUCGGCUAAACCUCUCUAGCGUUGCCUUGUCUAAGUAUCGUGAUACUGGCAAGAACGCGCGCUAACGUUUACUUUGACUAAAUCAGAGUGCUUAAAACAGGCUCGUUAACACGGCCGUUGAAUGUAAAAGCAUGGAAUAAUAGAACAGGACUAGAUUCAGGUUCUGUGAUAAAGUAUAUAAUACAUUGGUCUUCGGAACCUCUAGUAAUGAUUAAUAGGGAUUGACGGGGGCAGUCGUAUUGCCAGGCUAGCGGUGAAAUGCAAUAACCCUGGUAAGACGUCCAAAAGCGAAAGCAUCUGCCUAGGAUGUUUUCAUUAAUCAAGAGCGAAAGUUAGAGGUGCGAAGGCGAUUAGAUACCGCCCUAGUUCUAACCAUAAACGAUGCCAACCAGCAAUCAGUCUGAGGAUUCAAGCUUAUAAUGCAAAUAUACUUGAAUUAGACUGGGUCUCCCGGAGAAAUCAGAGUGCUUAGGCUCCGGGGGAAGUAUGGUUGCAAGGCUGAAACUUAAAGGAAUUGACGGAGGGGCACCACAAGGAGUGGAGCUUGCGGCUUAAUUUGACUCAACACGGGAAAACUCACCAAGACAAUACACUAGAACGAUUGACAGGCUAAAGACUUUUCUUGAUUUAGUGAAUAGUGGUGCAUGGCCGUUAUUAGUUCGUGGAGUGAUUUGUCAGGUUGAUUCCGGCAAACGAACAAGACUCUAGCCGUCUAUUUAAGUUGUCUCUGACUAGACAAACUGGUGAGGUGAGUGUGCUGUGUAUUUCGGUACAUAUGCCAUUUGCUUAGCCGUGUCUGGUGAGUGUACUUUAAACUUCUUAGAGGGAUCAAUGAUGUUUUCUAUCAAUAUAAUGUAGUCAUAGAGAGAUGGAGAACAAUAACAGGUCUGUAUGCCCUUCGAUGUCUUGGGCCGCACGCGAGCUACAAUGAAGAGAGCAAUGAGUUCCAUUGAGGUCCUGCUCAGAAAAGAGUUCUCAGGGUAACCUUUGAAAUCUCUUCACGUCAGGGAUUGGGCUUUGUAAUCUUAGUCCAUGAACAAGGAAUUCCUUGUAAGCGCGAGUCAUCAGCUUGCGUUGAAUACGUCCCUGCCCCUUGUACACACCGCCCGUCGCUACUACCGAUGAAGUGCUUAGCAAGAACAGUGGACAGCUAGAUGCAUGCCUGCGCUUAGGUGUACGGAAGUAUCAGUGCUGAAAGUUGUUCAAGCUUGUCACUUAGAGGAAGUAAAAGUCGUAA
rnacentral:rRNA from 1 species